rnacentral:rRNA from 1 species
CCUACGGGAGGCAGCAGUCGAGAAUCAUUCACAAUGGGGGAAACCCUGAUGGUGCGACGCCGCGUGGGGGAAUGAAGGUCUUCGGAUUGUAAACCCCUGUCAUGUGGGAGCAAAUUAAAAAGAUCGUACCACAAGAGGAAGAGACGGCUAACUCUGUGCCAGCAGCCGCGGUAAUACAGAGGUCUCAAGCGUUGUUCGGAAUCACUGGGCGUAAGGCGUGCGUAGGCUGUUUCGUAAGUCGUGUGUGAAAGGCGCGGGCUCAACCCGCGGACGGCACAUGAUACUGCGAGACUAGAGUAAUGGAGGGGGAACCGGAAUUCUCGGUGUAGCAGUGAAAUGCGUAGAUAUCGAGAGGAACACUCGUGGCGAAGGCGGGUUCCUGGACAUUAACUGACGCUGAGGCACGAAGGCCAGGGGAGCGAAAGGGAUUAGAUACCCUUGUAGUC